UAUUUUGAUUGUGCAAAGGUAGCAUAAUAAUUAGUUUUUUAAUUGAGAACUGGUAUGAAUGGUUGGACGAGAAAAAGACUGUCUCAAUUUAAUUUUGAUUAGAAUUUUAUUUUUAAGUUAAAAAGCUUAAAUACUUUUAAAAGACGAGAAGACCCUAUAGAGUUUUAUAAAUUUUUUAUUUUUAUUAAUUUUAGUAUUAUAUCUAUUGAUUAUAAAAAAUUUAUUUGGUUGGGGUGAUUGCAAAAUUUAUAAAACUUUUUUCUGUUAAUACAUUAAUUUAUGAAUAAUUGAUCC
rnacentral:rRNA from 1 species